GCACUGCUGAGGAGUCCCACAAUAGGACGAAGUGGUCGUCCAGUAC
rfam:Schistosoma mansoni strain Puerto Rico chromosome W, complete genome